CUAUUUGGUUGUGCGCGUCUCGGCCCACAGGAGACGUUGUUGGAGGCGAGGCCGCACGUGGGAAAAGGGACAUCCAGGUGUCAGAUCAAAUGCAAGCCACGAAGACCCAAUGUCUGUUUGAGAACAAGUCCUCAGAGAUGCCAGGAAGGACCCGAGUUUCCAAAUGGAACUACACACUCACAAAGUUCCUUUGCAGUUCCCUCUACAGUUA